rnacentral:rRNA from 1 species
UACGUAGGGACCGAGCGUUGUCCGGAUUCAUUGGGCGUAAAGAGCUCGUAGGCGGCUGCUCAAGUCGAAUGUGAAACCUCGAGGCUUAACCUCGAGCCUGCAUUCGAUACUGGGCGGCUAGAGUCUGGUAGGGGGAUCUGGAAUUCCUGGUGUAGCGGUGGAAUGCGUUGAUAUCAGAAGGAACUCCGGUGGCGAAAGCGACGUGCUGGACCUCUUCUGACGCUGAGGCGCGAAAGCUAGGGGAGCGAACGGG